GCCGCCGCCACUCUCUUCCAUCUCCCUCGGGAUCCUUUCCAAUCUACUCCACCUUGUUUUCUGCAGCCAACCAACCCGCAUCGCUCGCCGAUUUCCUCGUGCCCGAGGCCUCCAAAUCACUCCUCGCCGGAGACCAGCGUAGCCGCGCCCGAUCCCCUUUGCCUCCUCGUUCCCGUGCCGCAGCAGCCGAACAGGUGACCUCGCGCCCGAGCCUCCCGUGCGCCUCCAGCUUCCUGCCGGAGCAGCACCAGCGGCCAACCAGGGGAGAAUGCCAUGGGCGUCUGAGUUCUUCCACGCCGGCCGGCUACCUCGACCAGCAACCCACCCCGGCAGCAGCAGCCAGCCACCAUAGAGCCUCAGAGCCUCUCUCUCGUUCACAGGCACCCGACGCCUAGCCAUGGACGCCCACUUGGGCCUCGAGCUCGUCUCCUUCGCCGCCUUGCCCGACGGUCGCCGGCACCCCGAGGAUAGCCGCCGGAGCACCGUGCCAUGACCUUGUAGCUCCCACCGCGGAUCCGGCGGGUCCUGCCUUGGAUGCCGCGCCCGUACCCGGAUCAGCCGCGCCGCCUUGGUCCCCGUCGGCGUCGGCCUCUGCUCGCUUCUGCACCGGACACAGGGGAUCGACCCCUUUUUCUUGCGACAUCCUCUACUUCUUCCUCGAGCCCGCAGCAACUCCAGCGCGCGUUGACUUGUUCCUCUGCCAGCGUGGAGGAGAACCACGUAGCCACACGGGGCCUCUUCUUGCCUCGCCAAGGCUCGGCCUGCCUCCAUCUAAUGGGCCAGGCCCGCGGGCUUGCAGGUGCCGAUGAUACCAUGCAGGUGACGCAACCAAGCUCAAGGAGGAGCUCGA